CAAUAGCGUAUAUUAAAGUUGUUGCGGUUAAAAAGCUCGUAGUUGGAUUUCUGCCGAGGACGACCGGUCCGCCCUCCGGGUGAGUAUCUGGCUCGGCCUGGGCAUCUUCUUGGAGAACGUAGCUGCACUUGGCUGUGUGGUGCGGUAUUCAGGACUUUUACUUUGAGGAAAUUAGAGUGUUUCAAGCAGGCACACGCCUUGAAUACAUUAGCAUGGAAUAAUAAGAUAGGACCUCGGUUCUAUUUUGUUGGUUUCUAGAUCUGAGGUAAUGAUUAAUAGGGAUAGUUGGGGGCAUUCGUAUUUAACUGUCAGAGGUGAAAUUCUUGGAUUUGCUAAAGACGGACUACUGCGAAAGCAUUUGCCAAGGAUGUUUUCAUUGA
rnacentral:rRNA from 1 species